GAGGACCGGAGUGGACGAACCGCUGGUGUUCCAGUUGUUUCGCCAGAAGCACUGCUGGGUAGCUAUGUUCGGAUAGGAUAACCGCUGAAAGCAUCUAAGCGGGAAGCCCCUUCCAAGAUGAGAUCUCCCUGAGGCCUUGAGCCUCCUGAAGAGCCGUUCAAGACCAGGACGUUGAUAGGCUGGGUGUGUAAGCGCUGCGAGGCGUUGAGCUAACCAGUACUAAUUGCUCGU
rnacentral:rRNA from 1 species